rnacentral:rRNA from 1 species
AUUGAACGCUGGCGGCAGGCCUAACACAUGCAAGUCGAACGGUAACAGGAAGAAGCUUGCUUCUUUGCUGACGAGUGGCGGACGGGUGAGUAAUGUCUGGGAAACUGCCUGAUGGAGGGGGAUAACUACUGGAAACGGUAGCUAAUACCGCAUAACGUCGCAAGACCAAAGAGGGGGACCUUCGGGCCUCUUGCCAUCGGAUGUGCCCAGAUGGGAUUAGCUAGUAGGUGGGGUAACGGCUCACCUAGGCGACGAUCCCUAGCUGGUCUGAGAGGAUGACCAGCCACACUGGAACUGAGACACGGUCCAGACUCCUACGGGAGGCAGCAGUGGGGAAUAUUGCACAAUGGGCGCAAGCCUGAUGCAGCCAUGCCGCGUGUAUGAAGAAGG